UAGGGAAUCUUCGGCAAUGGGGGCAACCCUGACCGAGCAACGCCGCGUGAGUGAAGAAGGUUUUCGGAUCGUAAAGCUCUGUUGUAAGAGAAGAACGUGUGUGAGAGUGAAAGUUCACCCAGUGACGGUAACUUACCAGGAAGGGACGGCUAACUACGUGGCAGCCGCCGCGGUAAUACGUAAGUGCCGAGCGUUGUCCGGAUGUAUUGGGCGUAAAGCGAGCGCAGGCGGUUUAAUAAGUCUGAAGUUAAAGGCAGUGGCUUAACCAUUGUUCGCUUUGGAAACUGUUAAACUUGAGUGCAGAAGGGGAGAGUGGAAUUCCAUGUGUAGCGGUGAAAUGCGUAGAUAUAUGGAGGAACACCGGUGGCGAAAGCGGCUCUCUGGUCUGUAACUGACGCUGAGGCUCGAAAGCGUGGGGAGCAAACAGG
rnacentral:rRNA from 1 species